UUGUCCUUCUAGAAGAUGGCUCAACUACAAGGCUCAAAGUGAUCCUCUGAUGAGCUUUUUACCCUUUGGGUAGAUCCAUGUAACUAGAUUUGCCUAAAUAUAAGAAUGAUCAAAGUCGGACAAAAUUCAAAUUCAGGCAUGAAAGGUACCUUUAAGAUGGGAAUGGCUUCUAUGAUCUAAAUGUGUCUCCUACAAAUCAGAUGUGGGAUCCUUUCCCCAGACAACAAUGGCAAUAGAUGGAAUCUGGUUAGAUAAAGUAGUUAAAACAUUCAUGAAUGGAGUCUGUACCCUCAUAAAAGAGACCCAGGAAAUGUGUUUGCCCUUUCUACAAUGUAAGGACUUAGAAGGUGCUUUCUCUGAGACAGGACAUGAGGUGUCACCAGAAAUCAAUCCCAACAUCCAGAAUGGCUAAGGGUAAACCUUUUGUGUUUAUCCUGUAAUAAAGCACCACUGGCACAGACUAAGUAGACUAAUGUAGUGACAGAGGCAGCAUGUCAUGAUGGCUUUCAUCGAUUCACUGGCAUUAUCAGAUAACAUCUCAAAGAGCAGAAUGUAGGAACAUGAAACACAAAGGAAGAAAGGUCUAGUCUUCCAUCACAUCAUUAGUAUUUGUGCUGGUCCUAGAAUGGCUUCCAACUGGUAGAGUCUUAGCAGUCUAACGAUGACUAUCUUCAAGCUGGAGAAUCUGAGAACAUAGCAGCUGCUCAGUCCAUUGCCCUGGACUCCACUGAAGUUCCAAUCUAGCACUGAAGGGAUGGAAGGUUUCUGGUAGACUUCUGGUCAUGUGUCCACAUUGGAAAGUGGAAGAAACUUGAUUGUAGUAUCCUGGAAGAAUGCCAGCAGCAGCAGCAGCAGCAGCAGCAGCAGCAGCAGCAAGAAGCUAAGACAGGCAAGCAAACUAGCACUAAUUCCUUGAACCUCUUUAUUCCUGGGCGACUGUCCUAGGUGGUUUUAUGUCAACUUGACACAAGCCAUAAUCAUCAGAGAGGAGGGAGCCACAGUUGAGGAAAUGUCUCCACAAGAUCCAUCUAUAAAGCAUUUUCCCAAUUAAUAUCCAAUGCGGGAGGGCCCAGUCCAUUGUGGAUGGUGCCAUCCCUUGUGGAGUUGUCCUAGAUUCUCUAAGCAAGAAGUCUGAGCAAGCCGUGGCAUGGAAGCCAGUAAGCAGCACGUUUCCAUGACUUCUGUAUCAGCUCUUGCCUCUAGGGUCCCUGUUGUGUCUGAGAUCCUGCCCUGACUUCCUUCAGUAAUGAACAGCAAUAUGAAAGUGUAAGCUGAAUAAAACAUGUCCUACCCAC